rnacentral:rRNA from 1 species
AUUUUGGAGCUAGCCGUCGAAGGUGGGACAAAUGAUUGGGGUGAAGUCGUAACAAGGUAGCCGUAUCGGAAGGUGCGGCUGGAUCACCUCCUUU